rnacentral:lncRNA from 11 species
GUCUGUUUGUGUGGCAGAUACUUUAUGAAACGUCUGGAGGGCACGGUUUUUCUGGACAGGACAAAGAACAGAACUUUUGCAGAGAUCUGCAUAUCCGUAUAUGUACAUCCCAGGGCUUUUUUUUUUUAAAGCUGCCGAGGUCUCCGGUGGAAGUCCUGCAGUGGCCAUCUUGGGAGCUUCUAAAUCUUGGAACAAAGCAGCAAGUCUGGAUAACAGAGGCAGAAAUACCAUGAAUAAUAGAACUGUCAUACAUGGAAUGGAAAAAUUCCGCAAUUCCAUUCCAAC